GACGAACGCUGGCGGCGUGCCUAAUACAUGCAAGUCGAGCGAAGUUUUUCUGGUGCUUGCACUAGAAAAACUUAGCGGCGAACGGGUGAGUAACACGUAAAGAACCUGCCUCAUAGACUGGGACAACUAUUGGAAACGAUAGCUAAUACCGGAUAACAGCAUUAACUGCAUGGUUGAUGUUUAAAAGUUGGUUUUGCUAACACUAUGAGAUGGCUUUGCGGUGCAUUAGCUAGUUGGUGGGGUAAAGGCCUACCAAGGCGACGAUGCAUAGCCGACCUGAGAGGGUGAUCGGCCACACUGGGACUGAGACACGGCCCAGACUCCUACGGGAGGCAGCAGUAGGGAAUCUUCCGCAAUGGGCGAAAGCCUGACGGAGCAACGCCGCGUGAGUGAAGAAGGAUUUCGGUUCGUAAAGCUCUGUUGUUAGGGAAGAAGGAUUGUGUAGUAACUAUACACAGUAGAGACGGUACCUAACCAGAAAGCCACGGCUAACUACGUG
rnacentral:rRNA from 1 species